UACACUCCUGCGGGAGGCAGCAGUGGGGAAUUUUGGACAAUGGGCGAAAGCCUGAUCCAGCAAUGCCGCGUGAGUGAAGAAGGCCUUCGGGUUGUAAAGCUCUUUUGUCAGGGAAGAAACGGUGAAAGCUAAUAUCUUUUGCUAAUGACGGUACCUGAAGAAUAAGCACCGGCUAACUACGUGCCAGCAGCCGCGGUAAUACGUAGGGUGCAAGCGUUAAUCGGAAUUACUGGGCGUAAAGCGUGCGCAGGCGGUUUUGUAAGUCUGAUGUGAAAUCCCCGGGCUCAACCUGGGAAUUGCAUUGGAGACUGCAAGGCUAGAAUCUGGCAGAGGGGGGUAGAAUUCCACGUGUAGCAGUGAAAUGCGUAGAUAUGUGGAGGAACACCGAUGGCGAAGGCAGCCCCCUGGGUCAAGAUUGACGCUCAUGCACGAAAGCGUGGGGAGCAAACAGGAUUAGAAACCCGGGUAGUCCCAUG
rnacentral:rRNA from 1 species